UCUGCAGCCACGGGACCCCCAACAGCAGCCUCACAGAGCCUGCCCCGGCCACCCUAGUCUGGGCUAACUGUCCUGCCUUCUCCUCCAAGAUUCCCUUGCCUGGGUCCCUCCUCCCUCGGCCUCACCACACUCCUCUGGGGACCCUGUGCUUGGACUCCACCCUUUCCUGUCCAGACCACUGUGAAGGCCUUUAGUCACCUCCUAGAGAAGCAAGAUUUUCAGCCCUGGCUUUCUACCCCCACACCCUACAGCCGGCCAGGGGACAGGGUCGUGUUCACACAGUGCUAAGGGAACACGCUGACGUGUGUGACAUCAAGAACUCCAGUGCCCACACAGCCCGAGUCCGGAUGGCAGGCACAUCGGAAGGCUCACGGUCAGAGGAUGCUGGGACAAACGCCACGAGAGGUUCCUUUUUGUCUGGCUCACCCAGAAGAGAGGCUCCUCUCCUCCCUUCCCUGCAGCACAACGGCCUGGCUGGCACCCAAAGGGCAGCCGGCAUGGGCUGACCUCAGAGGAGCAAGGCGUGUUUGCAGCUCUGCCGCUCACAUCCACAGUGGCCAUGACAACAGGUGCAGCACCAUCCAUUAAAGCCCUGUGUCAUUUCA
rnacentral:lncRNA from 1 species